CCUGUGCUUCUUCCAUGGUCCUCUUAACUUCUAAAAUUUUCUAAACCUGUCUUUUCCACCCCCAAAAUUCCUGUUUGAAUGUUUAUGAAUGUGGGGUACAUAUGCUAUACAAAAAUAAUUUUAUUAGCAAGUGUAUGUGUGCUCACACUGAUAUUUCCAUAUUUUAUAUCUUUUAUUCUUUCUUAACGGUGACAAUUGCACACGGUGCAUCCAGAUCGCAUUGUCUCACCUGCGAAACUCUGAUGGAGCUGGUUGGAGGAAGAGCAGAUUUCUCCUGGAUCUGACUGCCUGGGCCACCUGGGAAGCCAGGUGAUACAUGAAGAGCGACUUUGUCCUGGUUUACAGCUCGAGACACCAAGCAGCAUGCUGCUUCUUUUCCUGUGACAUCCCUUGCGCCCUAAAGACAGAAAACAGGGCUGUUCAUUUCACUGUAGGACCAUCAGCAGGAGCCAACAGGAAACACAGGGAGUGCUCAGCUUCCAGACCCGCGCGAUUUCCAGCUGGACGACACUUGGCUAAUUUCGGGGAGGCUCCGCGGUGUCUGGGCCGCGCCUGCCGCCCGCAGCGCCUGGGAACACUUUGUUGACCGAGGGAAUCAAUGAAUCAGCAAACAAACAGCUUUUGGACAAAGGAGGACCUGACGCAGGUGAAGCGAGAGGAUUCCAGGACUAUUACACGGAUGGCAAGCUGUGGUUGGAAGCAGGUCUGCCGAGGCCUUGGGACCUUUAACCACUGGCGCAGCCUCUAUCCCGCUGGGCAGGGCUGGGCCUGGGGGAAGGAGGCAGCAGAGACCUGCCGCUGCGCAAACAGCGACCACAGCCAAAGACAGAGCUGCACCACCAAGGCUGUCAGCAGAAGUGAGGUUUCAGUGCCGCGAAGGCCUUCAAGGGAAUUGCACUCAUUCCUGUCGAAAUUCACAAGGAGAGGAGGGAGCACACCCGAGCCGCUGACCUGCCUGAAUGCUGGGGAGGCCGGGCUUGUGAUGGAAGCGGGCAUUGUCCUCCAUCGCAGCAGAAAGUACUUAAUUGUCUUUUAGACACAUACGAUAAAGACGCAGAAAGACUUAAUUACGUCUGAAUAUUUUACUCACUUAUGUCCUUCAAAUUCUAGGAUUUCCAGGUGGAUGUGUGCUGGGCUGCAUAUCUGGCGCUUCCGCCAGAUGGGGCGUGCUGUGCUCUCUGUUCCUAAAACACACAGAUAGGAAGGUAUUGAUACUAUACUGUGUCAGGAACUAAGGUUUUUGUAACUUUGUGGUUUUUGCAAAUAAAAAUGCUGUAAUUCCUAUAGUCUGGGCUGCAGUUCAGCCUUUGCUUGGGCAGGGUGCUGUAACUGU